rnacentral:rRNA from 1 species
UACGUAGGGUGCAAGCGUUGUCCGGAAUUAUUGGGCGUAAAGAGCUCGUAGGCGGUGUGUCGCGUCGGCCGUGAAAACCUGCAGCUUAACUGUGGGCUUGCGGUCGAUACGGGCAUCACUGGAGUUCGGCAGGGGAGACUGGAAUUCCUGGUGUAGCGGUGAAAUGCGCAGAUAUCAGGAGGAACACCGGUGGCGAAGGCGGGUCUCUGGGCCGAUACUGACGCUGAGGAGCGAAAGCCAGGGGAGCAAACGGG